CAGAGGUCCCAAGCGUUGUUCGGAUUCAUUGGGCGUAAAGGGUGCGUAGGUGGCGCUGUAAGUCGGGUGUGAAAUUUCGGAGCUUAACUCCGAAACUGCAUUCGAUACUGCGGUGCUUGAGGACUGGAGAGGAGACUGGAAUUCAUGGUGUAGCAGUGAAAUGCGUAGAGAUCAUGAGGAAGACCAGUGGCGAAGGCGGGUCUCUGGACAGUUCCUGACACUGAGGCACGAAGGCCAGGGGAGCAAACGGGAUUAGAUACCCCGGUAGUCCUGGCAGUAAACGGUGCACGUUUGGUGUGGGAGGAUUCGACCCCUUCCGCGCCGGAGCUAACGCGUUAAACGCGCCGCCUGGGGAGUACGGUCGCAAGAUUA
rnacentral:rRNA from 1 species